rnacentral:rRNA from 1 species
AGUGAACGCUGGCGGUAGGCCUAACACAUGCAAGUCGAACGAGUGGCGGACGGGUGAGUAAUGUCUGGGAAACUGCCCGAUGGAGGGGGAUAACUACUGGAAACGGUAGCUAAUACCGCAUACCAUCGGAUGUGCCCAGAUGGGAUUAGCUUGUAGGUGAGGUAACGGCUCACCUAGGCGACGAUCCCUAGCUGGUCUGAGAGGAUGACCAGCCACACGGGAACAGGGACACGGUCCAGACUCCUACGGGAGGAAGAAGUGGGGAAGAUUGCACAAUGGGCGCAAGUCUGAUGCAGCCAUGCCGCGUGUAUUAAGAAGGCCUUCGGGUUGUAAAGUACUUUCAGCGGGGAGGCGUGACCCGCAGAAGAAGCACCGGCUAACUUAGUGCCAGCAGCCGCGGUAAUUC